GACCGCUCUGGUGGCCUAGUGGUUAGAGCAUCCACCUUGGAUGUGGAAGGUCAAAGAUUCAAACUCCAGCCAAGUCA